CGGGCGUUAAGUUGCAGGGUAUAGACCCGAAACCCGGUGAUCUAGCCAUGGGCAGGUUGAAGGUUGGGUAACACUAACUGGAGGACCGAACCGACUAAUGUUGAAAAAUUAGCGGAUGACCUGUGGCUGGGGGUGAAAGGCCAAUCAAACCGGGAGAUAGCUGGUUCUCCCCGAAAGCUAUUUAGGUAGCGCCUCGUGAAUUCAUCUCCGGGGGUAGAGCACUGUUUCGGCUAGGGGGCCAUCCCGGCUUACCAACCCGAUGCAAACUGCGAAUACCGGAGAAUGUUAUCACGGGAGACACACGGCGGGUGCUAACGUCCGUCGUGAAGAGGGAAACAACCCAGACCGCCAGCUAAGGUCCCAAAGUCAUGGUUAAGUGGGAAACGAUGUGGGAAGGCCCAGACAGCCAGGAUGUUGGCUUAGAAGCAGCCAUCAUUUAAAGAAAGCGUAAUAGCUCACUGGUCGAGUCGGCCUGCGCGGAAGAUGUAACGGGGCUAAACCAUGCACCGA
rnacentral:rRNA from 1 species